UACAGAGGGGGCGAGCGUUAUUCGGUAUCACUGGGCUUAAAGGGUGCGUAGGCGGCUUUGCAAGUUGGGUGUGAAAGCCCUCGGCUCAACCGAGGAAUUGCGCUCAAUACUGCCGAGCUUGAGAGAGACAGAGGUAAGCGGAACUAAUGGUGGAGCGGUGAAAUGCGUUGAUAUCAUUAGGAACACCGGUGGCGAAGGCGGCUUACUGGGUCUUUUCUGACGCUGAGGCACGAAAGCCAGGGGAGCGAACGGG
rnacentral:rRNA from 1 species